rnacentral:misc_RNA from 1 species
GAUGAAGAACGCAGCGAAAUGCGAUACGUAAUGUGAAUUGCAAAUUCAGUGAAUCAUCGAGUCUUUGAACGCACAUUGCGCCCCCUGGUAUUCCGGGGGGCAUGCCUGUCCGAGCGUCAUUGCUGCCCUCAAGCACGGCUUGUGUGUUGGGCCCCGUCCUCCGAUCCCGGGGGACGGGCCCGAAAGGCAGCGGCGGCACCGCGUCCGGUCCUCGAGCGUAUGGGGCUUUGUCACCCGCUCUGUAGGCCCGGCCGGCGCUUGCCGAUCAACCCAAAUUUUUAUCCAGGUUGACCUCGGAACAGGUAGGGAUACCCGCUGAACUUAAGCAUAUCAAUAAGCGGAGGA